rnacentral:rRNA from 1 species
UACCAGCACCCCGAGUGGUCGGGACGAUUAUUGGGCCUAAAGCAUCCGUAGCCGGUUUUACAAGUCCUCCGUUAAAUCCAGCUGCUUAACAGAUGGGCUGCGGAGGAUACUAUAAGACUAGGAGGCAGGAGAGGCAAGCGGUACUCAGUGGGGUAGGGGGUAAAAAUCCGUUGAUCCAUUGAAGACCACCAGUGGCGAAGGCGGCUUGCCCAGAAUGCGCUCGACGGUGAGGGGAUGAAAAGCUGGGGGGAGCAAACCGGGG